GGUGCGUCCGCAUUGGAUCUUUCCUUCUUUGGUGGAGAUUUAAAUGUCAAUCUCGGAGGGUCCGUCGCUCUUGUGGGAACUCGUUUGACUGCUGAUGUUCGUAUUAGCGUAUUAGGAGGUAUCUCCAUCCGCACUCUUGAACUUGACUUCAGUCUACAAGCUAUCGAGUCCGCCCUAACUCUCAGAAUCCAGAAUGUUGACUAUUCCCAAUCCAUCAACAAGUUGCUUGGAGACACCAUCCCCACCGCAAUUGAAGCCAACAGGGCUGAUAUCAAUGAGCUGUUGGAAUACAUCGUCUUGCAGAUCGCUGAGAGUAUACUCGCAAUCUAUUGAUUCCAAGCUGACGUAAAACUCGACGAGAUGCGACUUCAGUGAUACACAAUAUUUUAUUAUUAAACAUGUUGUUCUAAAAACUAAAUUGGAUUUAUAUUUAUUUACACUAUCACUCAUUGCAGUUAUAUAAA